rnacentral:rRNA from 1 species
ACGUAGGGUGCAAGCGUUGUCCGGAUUUAAUGGGCGUAAAGAGCUCGUAGGCGGUUAGUCACGUCGGAUGUGAAAUCCCAGGGCUUAACCCUGGGCCUGCAUUCGAUACGGGCUGACUAGAGUGUUGUAGGGGAGACUGGAACUCCUGGUGUAGCGGUGAAAUGCGCAGAUAUCAGGAAGAACACCGGUGGCGAAGGCGGGUCUCUGGGCAACUACUGACGCUGAGGAGCGAAAGCGUGGGGAGCAAACAGG